AUGCCCGGUACGUGUAGGCUUGCCAGCAUCAAAGUUUCAAGUGCACAGCUCCUUUUUACCUCUUUUGUGAAAAAAGGCAAAGGCAUUGACAGGGCAGCCAGCCACCACUUCACUGGCCAGGUGGAGCACAGGCUCUUCUCCCCACCUGAGGGACGGACGGACGGACGGACCUGCCUCCAUCAAACGCCUUUCUCUUCUUCCCAAAGCCAAGCUCGAUUGGGCAAAAGGAAAAAACUCAUGCCUGCACAACAUCCAACCCCUCAGCUGCACAUUUUCCCCCGCAGAUGUUUGUUUGUCAUCUUCCUUUUAAGGCCUUAG
rnacentral:rRNA from 1 species